rfam:Oryza sativa (indica cultivar-group) chromosome 3, whole genome shotgun sequence.
AAAAACUUAAUUUCUAGGUUUCCGUGUCUAACGUUCGACCGUUCAUCUUAUUUAAAAAAUAUGAAAAAAUUUUAAAAGAUAAGUCAUACAUAUAGUAUUAUUCAUAUUUUAUUAUUUAACAAUAAUGAAAAUACUAAUUAUAAAAAAUUUCAUAUAAGACGGACGGUCAAACGUUGGACACGAAAAUCGAAAAAUUCAGUCUUU